UAGCGUGGGAAGAUAUAGCUAAAAGGAGCUUCUGAAAGACAAAGAAGAAGUACCUUUAGAGCCAGUGCUCUUGCUUUCAAAUGACCAAGAAGUUAGUGACACAGGCAAAGGCUGAGACUGCCACCAAAGUUUCGCCACCUGAAACAAACCCAGAGACAGGGGAAACAGCAUCUGGAACAGGAAUGAAGAACUGUUGUCCACAUAAAUCAAAGAAAGGACAGUGAGGCUUCAUUGAAGGAUGCCUCUUCACUUUGUGUUGCUGUUGGCUCUGUGAAGCUUGCUUUUAAUGGAACCAGAUGACAGCGACAAGAAGGCAGCAGUUCCAUUCAAAGGCCUCAACUUACACUUUCAACCACUUGCUAUGUCAUUUCUCCACUGUUGAUUUUCUAAUGUUAAAUUUUGUAUGUGAUCUAUAAUUCUACAAGUAGUAUGCGAAUUUUUUUUUGUUA